AGUGAACGCUGGCGGUAGGCCUAACACAUGCAAGUCGAACGGCAGCACAGUAAGAGCUUGCUCUUACGGGUGGCGAGUGGCGGACGGGUGAGGAAUACAUCGGAAUCUACUUUUUCGUGGGGGAUAACGUAGGGAAACUUACGCUAAUACCGCAUACGACCUACGGGUGAAAGCAGGGGAUCUUCGGACCUUGCGCGAUUGAAUGAGCCGAUGUCGGAUUAGCUAGUUGGCGGGGUAAAGGCCCACCAAGGCGACGAUCCGUAGCUGGUCUGAGAGGAUGAUCAGCCACACUGGAACUGAGACACGGUCCAGACUCCUACGGGAGGCAGCAGUGGGGAAUAUUGGACAAUGGGCGCAAGCCUGAUCCAGCCAUACCGCGUGGGUGAAGAAGGCCUUCGGGUUGUAAAGCCCUUUUGUUGGGAAAGAAAAGCAGCAGGAGAAUACCCCGCUGUUCUGACGGUACCCAAAGAAUAAGCACCGGCUAACUUCGUG
rnacentral:rRNA from 1 species